rnacentral:lncRNA from 1 species
CCAGGCAAGCCACAAUACCCACUUGCAUGAUAGGCAAGCCGCAAUACCCACUUGCAUGAUAAUCAUGCAGUAGCAAUGGUUUUCAACUUGAAUCUUUAUUAAUGUUUGCUUGUUGAAAAAAAUGGUUAUUGUUGUUCCGGUGAUGCUCAGAUUUGCAUGUUCACUUUUGUGCUAUGUUGUCUUAUACUCUGUGAUCAUGUUAUACUUGCUAGUAUUACCUUUCACACGUUUAUGCUUGGUAGUAGUACAUGUUGAUGUUGGAGAUGGUCAUGCUAGUCAGUAUGCGAUGCUUAGUGGAUCUGAGUUAUUGUUGGUAUGCUGGAAAGUUAUGUGAUACUCUCAUGAUGAUGUUGUUAUCAUGUUCAUGUAUUGUAGUUGGCAUCGUGUUAUUUUAUCAUGGCUCAACAUAUUUGCAUUCAAGUUAACCGGAUUAAAUUGAACUUGAACAUCUGUUGGCUGAGUCAUGGUGCCGCAGAAUCGAUGCUGACCAGUGCAACCACGCUUACGGGUAUGGGAUGGUCCUAACUGGGUCUAUUGUUGUGCCUCUCGCCGGUGCCUCCAAUGAGGGAAGGUUAUGGGCGCGUGCUACCCUGAUCAGGUAGGCGAAGCAUAACCUUGUGUGCCCGUAGUUGUUAUAGCCGGCGGAUCCCUGUGUGGGAUCGUUUAUGUUUUGGGCCACAACGAUGGUCGUUGUGUCUGGAGGUAGGCACGGGGCCACCCAUGACUUAGAUCAGUGAGGGUGAGUCGGAGUGGCCGGGAGAGUGUCAUGAUAGUAGAUCGGUUUUGUCGGAACACCGUUGGUCCACCCGAAUGGGAGUGCGAGGCCAUGGGUUCUGUAGUGUGGGUACAGUGUACUAACCUCUGCAGAGUGUAUAUUAAAUCUAUCGAUAGCCGCGCCCGCGGAUAAGGGCCCAGGUCGAGAGAAGGUCACACCAUGAGUCAACAGUAAUUAGAAUAAUGUGCUUAAUAAUAACAAGACGGGCCAGGUAUUGGUCGGGUGGUGAUUGCCGUAAGGAUCACGGGCCAAGUGUUGGUCGGGUUGUGAUCGCCGUAAGGAUCACGGUUUGGGACCCAGUGUUGGUCGUGGUUGUGAUCGCCGUAAGGAUCACGAUGGUAUCGAGGAUAUCGAGUUGUUGUAUAUUCAUGGUGUUGUACGAGAAUCGUGGGUAAAGAUCAAGCUCCUUGUGGUCGCUUAUUGAUUACUACGAUAUUGUUUAUACUAAGCUUGAUUUGAUCCUGAGAUGAUCGUGUGAUGUCCGAGGUUGGUAAGUGAUGCAUAUGUUCGUUACGAGGUAAUCAAACAUAAUAAGUGGUGCAUAUGGUGUCAUCAUGUUGCAUGCUAGUAUUGUCGGAUUAAUAUGCUCAUGCUGAGUUAGCUGUAUCAUGUUUAUGAUGGUCAUGCCAUGUUAUUCUGAUGAUAUCAUGUUAAUUCCUGUUUAACCUGUAAUUGCCAUGCUGUUGUUUGUCUUGAAUGCUUCUGGUUUAUUGUGAGCUUGCAAGUACAUUCAAUGUACUGACCUGGAGUGUCAUGCCAGUUUGCAGGUCAUGCCGGAUUUGAUUUCUUGCUUGUCGUGGUUUCCGUUCGUGCGAGCUAGGAUAAGCGUUCCAGCCAAAGUCCCUGCGGAGUGGAGUUUACCACCGUCGCCGUUGUUCCGCUGCUAGAGUUAUUCUGCUACUUCGAGUUGUUCUGCUGCUUGCAUAGAGCAACUGAGGAUGGCAUAGUGUCGCCGUACCGAUGUUAUUCAUUGUAAUAUCGGAGACCUUGUAUUCAUAUUUGUGUAAUAAUGGAAAGCUGGUUUGUUUUAUGCUAAGCAGUGCCAUAUUCCAGAAGACUUCUCCUCGAUCUCUGGGCUGGAAUACGGGGUGUUCUGGUUUUCUUUGAGCCGGGGUGCCACGGGCUUGGUAUCAGAGCAGGUCUGGCUAUAGGACGCCCUAGACCGCGCGAACGUUAGAACGCGGUAGUAUAGACCCCAGUUGGUUUGUUGCAUUUGAUUGUUGCAUUUGUUUGUCGCAUAGCAUCCAUAUAGCCUUAGUAUUCGUGAUAACGGUUUAUCUGGUGAGUGUAGCUGGCAUCGGUUUGGAUCCACUACAACUCAACCUUUGCAUUUCUCCAGUUCCUUUUUCUUUCGGUGUUUGGUGUCAAUUCUAUCCCAGCAGAGUUAUGCCAAGUGAUCCCGACACUGUUUGCAAAAAUGGUGCUCAGGCAUCGCGCCGAUGUAUUUCUUUCAGUCCCGUCUAUCAUUUCGGUGAUGGACAUGCGUCUAUCCAGGAUCAUUCUUUUAUUUUGUCAUGUUGGCAACCCUUAAUGAUCUUAGUUAUCAAGAAAGGGCAAUGUCAGCAGCCUCAGUUUUUCGCCGCUAUCCUAUUUCUUGGACGAGUAUGGAUCUUUUUCCGCCCGCUUGAUAAUAAUGUGGUUGCGACCUUCGUGUCCCACUGCAUGGUUACCAAGUACGUCCUCGUCUCCGAGCUAGUCUAGGUUGCUACCUGGCUAAGAUAGCACUUGGUGUAGCGCUGUUUACACCAAUUCUUCCACACAUUUAUUCGUCCUCGUGCACAUCAUCACAGCAUGCUAGAUCGUAAUACCGGAGUUUCCGCGAGAUUUGUGUGCUUAGGUUUGCAUGCAUAUUAUUGUGUGAGUAGCAGUAAUAUGUGAUGAUUGCUUGAUUAAUUAUGUUAGUAGAAUGCUUGUUUGCUCUGGUUUUAGUCGUUUCUAUUGUUCCUUUUUUUGGGCCUUUGGUGUUACAAAUUUUUCCCCCAUUAAAGUUGCUCGUCAGCCGACACUGGACCCGAAGAAUCAGGAAGGAAUGCAUAUAUUUGGAAACUCAGCUAAACAGAAUGGAAUUAUCAGCUGACUGCAGUGAAAUUGGGAAUAUCUUAUCUGAAUGCAAAAGAAAUCCUGGAUGGACCGUUAGUAAGUUUGCAUUAGCGUGCACUCAUCACUACGAAAUGAUUAAAUCAGCAAGAAGAUAAAUUGUGUGCAAGGUUGACAGAAUAUUAUCAAAGUUAUGGCUCAGAUACAAGUUUAAUUUUUCGUUGAGGAUGAUUUUGGAAUUCGAUGUACCUGGAAGCAAGCAAAAAUACGACAUAUACUCAGAAAGGAGGAUAGUCCUGCAAAACCCCGUUUCAUGCAGGAAAUCAAUAGAAGAAAUAUUAAGAUGGUAUGUAUAUGUGGAAAUCGGUCCGCAUAUCCCAAUAAGAAGUUUCUGGUGUAGGCAACCCACUUUUCCCUCGCAAGAUACCAGAGAAGCUUCCAAGGCAAGAUUCAUCUAUAUUCCUCAGUAUGAUACGUGGAUGAUUUCCCAUGCAAGGUACUCUGCCUUCUUCAGUAAGCACCCGCAAAAGUUUCCAGCAUAAGGUACCGAGUCUUUCCCCAGCAAAGUAUUUAAGGGGGUAAGCUUCUGAAGCACGAUACCCAGUCUUCUUCAGGAAGCCGUCCGAUGAAAGUUUUGAGCACAAGCCAGCAAAUCUUCCUCAGUAAGACAUUGGUCAAGGUAGUACGCUGUGAAUUGACAACAUAUGGCAGUGAAUCCCAAGAAUCAAAUCCGCAACAUUUUGGUCAGAAUCAAGAAUCAGUCGGAAUGAAUGUCUAUCUCGGAAUCAGGUCCUCAUAUAUAUGCCAUGAGCAUACCAUCAAGAUCUUACAGGUCACUCGGAUGAGGAUCUAAUAACCAUGUGAGGAUGAUUCAGAGAAGAAAGCCAGUAUACACCGUACUGUGACAAAGGAUUAUGAGGACUGAUGACAUCAAUGAGCUCAGUACAAGUACCCGUGAACCUGGAAAAUGAACCUGAUGAUCCCUUGUCCCCUUUUUCUCCAAUGACGGCACCACGCGUGUGAUCUGAGCUGUUUCUAGCUAUCCAGGGUGGAUGCCUAUUUUUGUUUCUCUCUUCAACAACUGUCACGAGUCUGAGCUACUUUUCGGCCGUCUCAUACAGCUGUUCAGAUUCUUUUGUGACAGUAGCCCUAUAGCUGCUUUUUGGCUAUUUUAGGGAGCUGCCACCUUCUUCUUAUCGACCCGGUCUCAUGCUCUGAGCUAUUUUUCGGCCGUCUUGAGCCGUGGUUGAGUUAUUUCAGUAAUGUCCUAGAUCUGAGUUGUAAAGACUAUUCUGGUGGCUACUGAUUUAUUUGUCGAUUUCUUGCAAGGGUUUUGGAUGAUCAUUUCCCAACAAUCAGAACUUGAGAGGUGUAGAACCUGCCAUUUGAUGGGUUACCCUACCAGAAAAAUGAGGAUAAGCUACAAUUGCCAAAAAAAUUGCACCGACAGUACCUAUGGUCAUACGAAGAAGCAAUAUGGCCCCAGCUCUUUCAGCCAAUGAUCCAGACCAAGAAAACAAUAAUGAAGGAGCAAGACCAAUGAGGCAGGUAUGAAAAUUAUACACGACCGCCAUGGUGCAGAUCCCCCGGAUAGUCUAAGUCGGUAUGGAUCCACAUGGAUAUGCCUACAACAUGAGUAAUCAGCAUGAGGAAUAACAGUCUGGAAGCAUGAGUCCUCACUUAUAUGAAUCAUCAUGGAUAGCCUGUCGUGACCAAAUUUUUUCCGUCAGAACCACCGUUAGUCAAGCCGGCAAAUAUUAUCAUACAGGCCGAACCCUUUAUGCUAGCCGCGACGGGAGACAACCAAAUAUUUGAUAUGCAUCCGGUACCCAUGCUAGUGGAACCGGUUAAGAUGGUUCAAAAACUUCUGCGAUGAGUCAGAAUCUGUCAGGAAACGGUUAUGUUUUAACUCACUGUUGGAAACCCAAAGGACCUUCAUUUGGUGGAGAAACCCAAUGAAAUGAGUCUGAGCUUGAGUUUUAAUCAAAACAUUCUGAUCAUCAUUACAUGAAAGGUUGUCAGUGCCGGAUGGCACACCCAGCGGAAAUCCCUUUUGGAUUUGUGAGAUGGACAUAUAUUUCAGUCGUGAUAAUCAAAUUACACUCAGCUAGUCAGCAGAUCUAAAAAGAAAUUGGAGCCUAUAUAAGCAUGAGCAAGCCAGUUAAGAUCUGUCAGAACGUGGAUACAAUGAAUCAAACCAACCCAGGGCCAGUCAGAUAAGAAUUUAGUGGGAACAACAAUAAAGGAAAAAGGAUACCCGAGUUGGAAAUGGUUUCCUUAAGUCAGAAUAUUAAUACUAGUUCCCUGAGCAACCAAAUCUUGAGGACGAGAUUUCUUUAAGGGGUUAAGGUUUGUGACAACCUGAUUUUUGGUCCUUUCUUUUUCUUUUGUUUUUCCGAGGUUUUUGCCUGAGUUUUCUUUUUUCCGUGGCUUUGUGGUCUGGAAACCGAAGAAGAUGACCUCUUCUUUGCUUCUAGAGUGGCUUGUCAUUCCCAAAUCUUUCCCUAGACCCUGUCAUUUCCUUCCUAGCCCAAAUCCCAAUAUUCUUUUUAUUGGGAAUAUUCCUUUUCUAUUGAAGGAAUAACUCAAAUUGCCCUAGGUUGUGAAGCAACCUAUAUUUCAAUCACUCCUAAAAUUCCCAAUUAAUUCUCAUAAAUUGUUUGGGUCAUAUCUUGAUCAAAGAUGGCAAAACGUUUCAUUGCCAUGUUCAAAAAUAAUUCCCCAGUAAUUCAUUUCCUAUUCUGCCCUGAAUGGCACUUUGUGAAGGAAGUGUCAUUUAUAUUUCUCCUAUUGACUCCCAACCUUUUUGGGCAUGAUUAUAUGUCCAAAUAGUUACCUCAUGCACAAGUUCAAAUUUAUUUGCCUAGCCAAUCUUCCUCAGUGAAUUUUCAAAGUUUCUGUCAGACAGAAGGCUUUGUGCAGGAAGUACUAGCUAGGAGUACCCAAAUGAGUUGAACUUUUGCACUCCUUAAUGUGCUCAUAUUAACCCCUUACACCCAUUUGCAGCCCCAUCCCAUCAUCUAUGUGAGCACAGGAGCAAAUCUUUGUUUCUGGAAAUAUUUUUAGGUUGUGAAGCAAGUAUAUUUUAUAUUGCUCCAAAAAUCCUGAUAAAUUACCAGAUCAUUCGUAUACGCAUAAAACAUUUCUCCACCCAAUUUGGCAUCAUUUCAUUGAUCCAUUUGACCACCAUAUUUAUUUCAAGUUUCUGGUCAGCAGAGAUGUUUGUGAAGCAAUUGCUAUUUUGGUCUGUCCAUUUGGCAUGAGCUUUUUACAGCAUCAUCAUAUGACCAAAUGACUAAGCCUUGACCAAUAUUAGCUCAAGUGGACACUCCAUGUGAGUCCGCCAUCCUAAUCUUGAUUCUGGACCAUAUUUGGCAGUUGCAAAGCAACUCUGUUAAAUCUUGAUCCAAACCCAUCCAUAGUUACCAGGAUGUAAGUCCUUCAUUACCUCUACCUCCGAGACAACUCCAUUUGACCCAAUCACAUCCCUGUUGAGCAGCAGUACACGAUCAAGUUUACUGCAGUAAACUUCAGGUGUUAACUGCUAUUUAACCGUGUCACUUUUAGCCAAACUACCACCGCGGUUGCAACCUCCCCAGGAAGGACUAAACUCCAGACAUAGGUUGGCAUCACUUGUGGCACUGUGUGCACCAGUGCACGCGGUGACCACCGCUUUGGCGUGCAAUGGUCGCGCUUAGAGCUUCUUCUUGCUUGGGCUCCUCCCCUUCUCGCUGUCUUUGCACCCGUGAGCAUGUCUAGUAGAUUGCCCUCGUCGUUGCCGUCCUCCUGGAUCCCUCUCCCCCUCCGUCCACUUCCUCUUCGGCGCUCAUCGCCGCGCGCCCACGGGUGAGCAGUACCCCGACAUGCAUUAAUGGUGCUUGGCUGCUUCCCUCCCCUUGACCUCUUCUACCCGUGAGCUCUGUGGCUCGUCCGCAUCUCCCUCGUCUUGAACCCGUGCCACCCCGUGCUCGAUGGCCUCGCCAGAGCGUUGGCCGGAUCCCCACGGUGCCACCCGAGCUCGGCCUCCCUCGCCCCCGCCUAUAUAAAGACCCCAGAGUCCUCCCGAGCUCACUAGCCUCUUCCACGCCCUCCACUAGACCUCCCUGACCAGUCAAACAAGCUCGAGGAGCUCUCCCUGGCCAUCAUUGCCGCCAUAGCCGCCGCGGCUUUCCUCCUAAAUUGGAGCGAGCCGAGCCCUCCCCCUCCAUUCUAGCACCACCAGUGCCCUACACCACACCCCUAGAGCCUACCCGACGCCCAGCCCCUCCUCUCCGUGGCUCCUCCAUCCUCCCCAAGGUCGCCCGAGCCCCGCCAUUGCCGCCGUCCGCCCCGACCUAGAUCACGUGCUCCCCUGACUUCCCCGCCCUCCGUACCCCGCCUGGCUGGACGCGCCGUUCCUCCUCGAGCACCUCGAUGGCCGGAGCGCCUCGAACGGUGGCCUCUGCCGCCUGGGCACCUCGCUGGAGCAGGCGACCUCCUCUGUCCUGGAGCCGGCGUCGGGAGGAAGAAGGGAAGGAGCAAGGAGGAGAGAGAGAGAUCCGGUGGGCCCCGCUGGCAGUGACACGAGCGUUGACCCUGUUGCCAGCGUGGAUAAGUGGCGGGUCCCACCUCCCUGCGGGCCCCGCCAGUCAGCCUCACAACCGCCGGCCCCGCGUUGACCCAGGUACAGUGACGUGGAUAAGUGGAGGCGUAAUCCACUGAUUACGUCUUCGCUUUCCGAAAGCGUAUUUCCCAUUUUACGCUUCUGUCUUAUCCACUCACGGACUUAUUUGUGAUGAAAUUUUUGCAGAAAAGUCCCUGAACUUCAACCCCUCAUAUCUUUUUAUCCGUAACUCCGAAUGAGGUCAAACCAACGGCCACUUCUUCGUUUCAUCGAGCCCUUUCUGUUGGUGUCACUUUCAUUAUGUUUUGGCAUACUGAAAAUGACCAUUUUGCCCCUGCCCUUAAUCAGCCCCCUCCAAGAGAGACAUGUUUUCCGGCGAUUCGUUCCGCGGCUUCACCGCACUUCUUCUCGGUGCCUUCUUCAUCCCCAGGAAAGCCACAAUACCCACUUACAUGAUAGUCAUGCAGUAGCCAUGGUUUUCAACUUGAAUCUUUAUUAAUGUUUGCUUGUUGAAAAAAAUGGUUAUCGUUGUUCCGGUGAUGCUCAAAUUUGCAUGUUCGCUUUUGUGCUAUGUCGUCUUAUACUCUGUGAUCAUGUUAUACCUCCUAGUAUUACCUUUCAUAUGUUUAUGCUUGGUAGUAGUACAUGUUGAUGUUGGAGAUGGUCAUGCUAGUCAGUAUGCGAUGCUUAGUGGACAUGAGUUAUUGUUGGUACGGUGGAAAGUUAUGUCAUACUCUCAUGAUGAUGUUGAUAUCAUGUUCAUGUAUUAUAGUUGGCAUCAUGUUAUUUCAUCAUGGCUCAGCAUAUUUGCAUUCAAG